rnacentral:lncRNA from 1 species
CGGAAUAGCUAUAGGUAAGGCUUACCAGCGCAUGUGGGCUGUACUCAAAGGUCUCAAUCACAACAGGCCAAUCAACGGUACGGUCCUUAAUCGACUCAGUUGGAGACACUACUUAAAGACUCCAUUCUUAAAGCAAGUCCUCCGACCGGUCUCAAGUUUAAACAUUAUUAACCAUAAAAGUAUUCCACAACAACCCUUCAAACUCUUUCAUUUGAAAACUUAUCUAAUAAGCAGGGCUAAGCAUAUUAAGCAUUUUCAUAAAGCAGGUAUCAAGGUUAAUAUGGAAAUCAUCAAGGUAGAUAAUGC